AGUAUAUACCAAAUGGAGGUGGUAACACGCCGCAUUGUAAUUGAAGCUGGACUAGGGCACAGUUAGCACAUAGCUGAUUGUUCAGAUGACAACACCCUUCACAAUGGCCUACAAAGGAAAAGGUUCCGGUUUUCUGGAGAGGGAAAUUCGAAUGGUACUUGUUGGAAAGACUGGAGUAGGUAAAAGUGAAACUGGAAAUACAAUAUGUGGAGCCGGAAAGGGGGCACAGAUAUUCCAAGCAUUAGUGAGGGCAAUGUCUGUUACAAAGUAAUGUAAACAGCAUUUCUUCAAACGUUUUGGGCACGAGUUGCAACUUGUUGAUGUCCCGGGCUUUUGUGACACAAACAAAUCACAUGAAGACAUCAAGAAUGAAGAAAUGUGUGGGUAUGUCAUCUCCUGGAAUACACGCCAUUCUUUUCAUUGUGAGAAUAGGAAGAUUCACCGAAGAAGACAAAAAUACACUGGAAACAUUCCUGCAGUGCUUUGGAAAAGGAGCUAAAAGAUUCGCCAUUGUUGUAUUUACUGGGAAGGAUGACUUGGAAGAGGCCAGUGACACAAUUGACAGCUAUCUUGGAGAUGUUCCAACGACACUGAAGCAGUUUCUGUUUGAUACAAGUCUUCGUUUUAUUGCUGUCAACAACAGAGGGACGAAUGAAGAAAAGGAGAAAUUUACCAAA